UAGGAGCCGAUGAAGGACGGGACUAACACCGAUAUGCUUCGGGGAGCUGUAAGUAAGCUUUGAUCCGGAGAUUUCCGAAUGGGGGAACCCACUGCUCGUAAUGGAGUAGUAUCUUUACCUGAAUACAUAGGGUAUUGAAGGCAGACCCGGGGAACUGAAACAUCUAAGUACCCGGAGGAAGAGAAAGCAAACGCGAUUCCCUGAGUAGCGGCG
rnacentral:ncRNA from 1 species